rnacentral:rRNA from 1 species
GACGAACGCUGGCGGCGUGCUUAACACAUGCAAGUCGAACGGUAAGGCCCUUCGGGGUACACGAGUGGCGAACGGGUGAGUAACACGUGGGUAAUCUGCCCUGCACAUCGGGAUAAGCCUGGGAAACUGGGUCUAAUACCGAAUAGGACCACAGGACACAUGUCCUGUGGUGGAAAGCUUUUGCGGUGUGGGAUGGGCCCGCGGCCUAUCAGCUUGUUGGUGGGGUGAUGGCCUACCAAGGCGACGACGGGUAGCCGGCCUGAGAGGGUGUCCGGCCACACUGGGACUGAGAUACGGCCCAGACUCCUACGGGAGGCAGCAGUGGGGAAUAUUGCACAAUGGGCGAAAGCCUGAUGCAGCGACGCCGCGUGGGGGAUGACGGCCUUCGGGUUGUAAAACUCUUUCACCAUCGACGAAGGUCCGGGUUUUCUCGGGCUGACGGUAGGUGGAGAAGAAGCACCGGCCAACUACGUG